rnacentral:rRNA from 1 species
AUACGGAGGGGGCUAGCGUUGUUCGGAAUUACUGGGCGUAAAGCGCGCGUAGGCGGAUUGGAAAGUUGGGGGUGAAAUCCCGGGGCUCAACCUCGGAACUGCCUUCAAAACUCCCAGUCUUGAGUUCGAGAGAGGUGAGUGAAAUUCCGAGUGUAGAGGUGAAAUUCGUAGAUAUUCGGAGGAACACCAGUGGCGAAGGCGGCUCACUGGCUCGAUACUGACGCUGAGGUGCGAAAGCGUGGGGAGC